CUAAUGCUGUUUCAAUUUCACCAUUUAAAUCAUUUUUAAAAAAAAAACAUUUUAAGCUUUGAAAAGAAACCCUAAAAUUUUGAGAUAUUUUCUUAGCACCUUCACUCUCCUCUCCGUUUUCCAACCGAACGGCUGAUAUCCAGCCUUCAACUACCGCCUCUGACGCCGAUCCACGGUGCGAACCCAGAUCGUGGAGGAGAGCGUCAUGGGGCGUGGUGCGUGCUACACACUGGCUAGGAGUCGUGCUUGAUGUGCCGACAUGUGCGGUGGAGGGACGCUAAACGUAGGGCCUGCAGCACAAGGAAAUAGCCUAGGGUUUUCCAUGUUUUUCUGAUUUAGGCUAUUGGGCUUGCUUAAUGUAAUUGGUUUUAUUUUUGGGUUUAUUAUUUAUUUUUGCUUUUGUAUGUGUGUGGGCUGUAAUUAGAUAUUUGAGCCCGGACUAAAAUUGGGUCUUACAUAUACAUUAAUUGUUUUUCUAUUUCCUCCCUAAUCCUUUCAUGUAAUUCUUUUUUUCUAAAGUUAUUGUUUAAAUUUUAAGAUUGAUGUUUAAUA